UACGUAGGCAGCAAGCGUUGUUCGGAGUUACUGGGCGUAAAGAGUGCGUAGGCGGUUUUCUAAGUCUGGUGUGAAAUCUCCCGGCUCAACUGGGAGGGUGCGCCGGAAACUGGAAGGCUUGAGUAUGGGAGAGGUAUGCGGAAUUCCUGGUGUAGCGGUGAAAUGCGUAGAUAUCAGGAGGAACACCUGUGGUGUAGACAGCAUACUGGACCAUCACUGACGCUGAGGCACGAAAGCGUGGGGAGCAAACAGG
rnacentral:rRNA from 1 species